GCCUUAGUAGCGGCGAGUGAGCGGCAAAAGCUCAAAUUUGAAAUCUGGCGCCUUCGGUGUCCGAGUUGUAAUUUGAAGAUUGUAACCUUGGGGUUGGCUCUUGUCUAUGUUUCUUGGAACAGGACGUCACAGAGGGUGAGAAUCCCGUGCGAUGAGAUGCCCAAUUCUAUGUAAGGUGCUUUCGAAGAGUCGAGUUGUUUGGGAAUGCAGCUCUAAGUGGGUGGUAAAUUCCAUCUAAAGCUAAAUAUUGGCGAGAGACCGAUAGCGAACAAGUACAGUGAUGGAAAGAUGAAAAGAACUUUGAAAAGAGAGUGAAAAAGUACGUGAAAUUGUUGAAAGGGAAGGGUUUGAGAUCAGACUCGAUAUUUUGUGAGCCUUGCCUUCGUGGCGGGGUGACCCGCAGCUUAUCGGGCCAGCAUCGGUUUGGGCGGUAGGAUAAUGGCGUAGGAAUGUGACUUUACUUCGGUGAAGUGUUAUAGCCUGCGUUGAUGCUGCCUGCCUAGACCGAGGACUGCGAUUUUAUCAAGGAUGCUGGCAUAAUGAUCCCAAACCGCCCGUCUUGAACCACGGACCAAAA
rnacentral:rRNA from 1 species